rnacentral:rRNA from 1 species
GUCUUCAUGGUAAUGAUGUGAAGUCGGCCCUGCCCAAUGAUUGUUUAAAUGGCCGCAGUAUUUUGACUGUGCAAAGGUAGCAUAAUCAUUUGCCUCUUAAUUAGGGGCUGGAAUGAAGGGGUUGAUGAAAAAGGUUCUGUCUCUUUUAUAUAAUUAGAAGUUUAUUUUUAAGUUAAAAAGCUUAAAUAUUUUUAAAAGACGAGAAGACCCUAUAGAGUUUUAUAUAUCUUGGGAUUUUAUUUUAAGGGUAUAUAUUUAAUAAUAUUUUCAAGGAAUAUUUAGUUGGGGUGACUAUGAAAUGUGCUUAACUUUCAUUGAUUUUUAAUAUUUAUGAAUAGAUAAUAUUUAAAUGAUCCAAUCAUUGUUGAUUAUUAGAUAAAAUUACCUUAGGGAUAACAGCGUAAUUUUUUUUUAGAGUUCUUAUCGAUAAAAGAGAUUGCGA